rnacentral:rRNA from 1 species
AUUGAACGCUGGCGGCAUGCCUUACACAUGCAAGUCGAACGGUAACAGGUCUUCGGAUGCUGACGAGUGGCGAACGGGUGAGUAAUACAUCGGAACGUGCCUAGUAGUGGGGGAUAACUACUCGAAAGAGUGGCUAAUACCGCAUGAGAUCUACGGAUGAAAGCAGGGGAUCGCAAGACCUUGUGCUACUAGAGCGGCCGAUGGCAGAUUAGGUAGUUGGUGGGAUAAAAGCUUACCAAGCCGACGAUCUGUAGCUGGUCUGAGAGGACGAUCAGCCACACUGGGACUGAGACACGGCCCAGACUCCUACGGGAGGCAGCAGUGGGGAAUUUUGGACAAUGGGCGCAAGCCUGAUCCAGCAAUGCCGCGUGCAGGAUGAAGGCCUUCGGGUUGUAAACUGCUUUUGAAUGGGAGAAAACCCCUGUACGUGUACGGGGCUGAUAGUACCAUUAGAAUAAGCAUCGGCUAACUUCGUGCCAGCCGCCGCUGUAAGAC